rnacentral:lncRNA from 1 species
CAAGGGGAUGGUACUAAACCGUUCAUGAAGGAUCUGCUCCCGUGAUCCAAUCUCCUCCUACCAGGCCCCACCUCCAACACUGGGCAUUAUUUCAACAUGAGAUUGGAAGGGGACAAACAUCCAAGCCAUAUCACCAGCUAACAGGAAGUUCUAUUUGGCUGCCUCCUUGACUUUAUUUUAGCACAGCUGUGAAGCAACUGUAGCAUGUUACACAGGUCCAAUGCCCCUAAGAUUCUUCUCAAAAUUUUCUGGAUAUUUCUGGAUGGAGUCAGCUAAAAUGUCACCUACUCUUGCCUAAUCAUCCUGUCUGGAGUUGCAUCCCUCAAUUAUGUUUUAAAUAUUGUUCUCAGGAAAAUAGGAAAAAAAUUAACAACAUGAGGGAAGUUGUAAGACAUGGGAAAUGAUAGAGUGCUUUACACCCAGGCCUGUGUAGACUGACUCCCCUGCUGAGAUGAAGAUGCCAACAGGACAACAGAGCAGCAGGUGCCCUGCCUCAGGUGGACAGCCUCCAAUCUUGGUGAUGACUAUACAUUGUGUCUUCUUCCACAUAUCCAUAUAAAUCUCAUACAUAUUCAUUUUUACUUUAAAAUUUUAUAUUUGUAUAUUGAAAUAUAUUUACUUAAGAAGAACAUACUAAGUGCCUAUGUGUGGCUUUGUAUUAUGUCAGCUUCACUAAACUGGAAGUAUGUUUUCCAGACUUCACUUUCCUGUAUGUUUCAGGGUAAGGGUUGUCCACAAGAGAAAUUUUCAUAAGAUUUGGGAAACAGAAAAGAAGCACAGCCAUUUUUGCAUGCUCUGAAAUUUGGUGCAUGGUGCCAGUCAUGACGGCAACCUGUGCAUGCUGUCACUGAUCUGCUUGGCCUACCUGGGUGGCCAGGUGGAUAGCACCUGGGUCUGCAGCUUCUCCAGUUCUUGCUGGAUUGUCUGCUCUGGACAUUCUGUUUCCUAGCUCUAUGUCAAUGGGGAUUAGCUUCUCUUGCAGGUUACCUGUGUUGUCGAGGUUGGAGGUAGUGAGAGACAGAUACUGGUUCCAGUCUAUCCUUGCUCUCUCCCACUUUGCAUCCAGCUGUUCUUCCCAACUAGUGUUCCAGCUUGCAUAUUGCAAUCUCAGGCCCCACAUCAGAUGCAGAGGAAAGAUCUAGCUACUUUAUUUUACAUUAGUCAUAGUAGUACUGCUUUUCUGGUUGAUCCCUGACUGAUAUAGCCUAUAUAUGUCAGACACUGUGCUGGGUUUGGAGAUAGCAAUGGUGAGCCAGUUCAGUAUUGACCUUUUUUAUAGAGCUUAAAGUCUAACUUAGGAUAUUAUUAUUAUAAUACAAAAGAAAUAACAUGUUAUUUUUAAUUUUCAAUCAAGCUGAGGUUAUUUAAUAAUGCUUUCAUUUUUAUAACCCUUUUUUACUUUUCAAAGAGCUUUCUUGUUAUUUGCUCACUGUCACAUCUUUGCAGCUGUGGAGAAGACUAAGCAGAGAUUUAAGAAUACUCCUAUCCCAAGGUUGCACAAUUUGUAAGUGGCAGGAAUGUAGUCUUCUGAUUCAUAUUCCAGUGCUUGUCUUAAUGUGAAAGUUAUGAAAAUAAAUCAAAUUUUGUACUUUCAUGGAGCAAAUGUUACUAUCAGAUCAGUUGUGUCUACAUUUCACCAAAAUAUUUACCAAUCCAGAAAAAAAAAUAAGCCAAUAUGAGAUACUUGGCACCACGUAGGAAA